rnacentral:lncRNA from 1 species
CCCAUACCGUCGACUAUCUGUACCGACGGUGCUGUAAAAAAAAAGAGAAGCAAAAAAUAAAAAUAAAAAAUAUAGACAACAAAAAAAGAAAAUGGAAAAAGAGUAAAACGAAAGAAUAAAAUGAACGACAAACUAGAUAUACCGUACGCCACUAUAGUGGAAAAGUGAGUGUCAACUGUAUCAAACUGCAGUGGUAAUACGAGCUAGCGCCUGGUCAGCGAGAAUGCAAUUUAAAAUGAGUGCGGUGGAACGUAAGAGGCGGAUCAGAUCCAUUAUUUAGUGGGUACCUGAAGCAGCUAUGUAAACUCCCCAUCACGAAGCUCAUAGCCAGCCGAGAAGGAUCCUGGAUCGGGAUCACCGCGUAAACCAUCCUAUCCCUGAUGUUUCCGAGGAUUAUACGGUCUGUAUAUACAGAACAAGACACGUCGAUCCGAAAGGACCCACGUUUGCGGAUCGAGGGUGAAUAAAGAAGCGAAGGUUCCGUACGAGG